UUUGCAAUGGUCAGAGGCCCUGCUAGAUUUUGGGAUACAGAGACCCUAUGGUACAUAAUGACAGCUUGUGUAAUUAUGCACAACAUGAUCAUUGAAAAUGAGCGAGAUGAAGAUGUAGACUUUGACUAAGAUCAGGAGGACAGUGAGGUGUUGAGGAAGGAGGAAUAGCAACGACGUAAUAAACAUGUGUUAGAGAAGUUUCUAAAGAUACAUAAAGAAAUUGAAGACCGGCAGGUACAUGAGCAACUUCGAGAUGAUCUUGUGGAACAUUUGUGGGCGCUUCAUGGUGCUCGGUAGUUCAAUUUUUGCAUUUUCUAUCAUGUAUUGGGUUAUGUUCAAUAUUUGCUUGUAGGACAUAUCAUUUUCAUGUUUGAAAUUUUUGAACUCAAAUUUGAAUUGUGGUGUUUGAAAUUGCAAAUUUGAAUAUGGUUGAAUUCCACGCGCUAGAAUUAUUUAUGUUUCAAUUAU
rnacentral:sRNA from 1 species